GAUGAAGAACGCAGCGAAAUGCGAUAAGUAAUGUGAAUUGCAGAAUUCAGUGAAUCAUCGAAUCUUUGAACGCACAUUGCGCCCGCCAGUAUUCUGGCGGGCAUGCCUGUUCGAGCGUCAUUUCAACCAUCAAGCCCCCGGCUUGUGUUAGGGACCUGCGGCUGCCGCAGGCCCUGAAAAGCAGUGGCGGGCUCGCUGUCACACCGAGCGUAGUAGCAUACAUCUCGCUCUGGGCGUGCUGCGGGUUCCGGCCGUUAAACCACCUUCAUAACCCAAGGUUGACCUCGGAUCAGGUAGGAAGACCCGCUGAACUUAAGCAUAUCAAUAAGCGGAGGA
rnacentral:misc_RNA from 1 species